rnacentral:lncRNA from 1 species
UGUGUGUUAUUCCUCAGCUCAAGGCUGGUUUAAAUAGGAAGAGUACAAACAUAAAAGGAAAUAAUAGAUAAGCUUAGAAUCUCCUAGAAAUAACAAACUAGGAAACUAAAUAUUUUCCAACACCCCCCUCAAGUUGGUGCAUAGAUAUCUGUCAUGCCCAACUUGCCGAUCAAAUGCUCAAAGGUGGGUCUUGCCAAAGUUUUGGUUAAGAUAUCUGCAGUUUG